CGCCGCCGCGGUAAUACGAAGGGGGCUAGCGUUGCUCGGAAUUACUGGGCGUAAGGCGCACGUAGGCGGAUUUUUAAGUCAGGGGUGAAAUCCCGAGGCUCAACCUCGGAACUGCCUUUGAUACUGGAGAUCUUGAGUUCGGAAGAGGUUGGUGGAACAGCUAGUGUAGAGGUGAAAUUCGUAGAUAUUAGCUAGAACACCAGUGGCGAAGGCGGCCAACUGGUCCGAUACUGACGCUGAGGUGCGAAAGCGUGGGGAGCAAACAGGAUUAGAUACCCGAGUAGUCCCUGUCUCUUAUACA
rnacentral:rRNA from 1 species